GCGUCAAUGGCACUUGUACCACUUAUACAUACGGUGACCACAUUUCUGUGGACCAAAAUCGGAACACUUCUAAAGCAUCGAAUCCGAACAUUCAAUUUUGUUUU